UACGUAGGGGGCAAGCGUUGUCCGGAUUUAUUGGGCGUAAAGGGUGCGUAGGUGGCGGGGUAAGUCUGGUGUGAAAUCUCGGGGCUCAACCCCGAAACUGCACUGGAUACUGCCUUGCUCGAGUACUGGAGAGGAGAUUGGAAUUUACGGUGUAGCAGUGAAAUGCGUAGAUAUCGUAAGGAAGACCAGUGGCGAAGGCGAAUCUCUGGACAGUUACUGACACUGAGGCACGAAGGCCAGGGGAGCAAACGGG
rnacentral:rRNA from 1 species